UUUCAAACACCAAGCAAACAUCAUUUCACUAAUUAGCCACAUUCAAUUGUUGAGAGUGCUAAUUACUUAACUCUUAGAAAUGGCUAAGUUUGCUAUAUCCUCCAUUGCCCUUCUUCUCACUUUGAACAUUCUCUUCUUCACUAUGGUUAGUUCCACUAAUGUCCCAUGCCCACCACCUCCCCACUCCAAGCCCCACCCUACCCCUAAGCCCCACCCCAUCAUCAAAGGGUAAGUGCUCAAAGGACACACUUAAGCUAAAAGUAUGUGCUAACUUAUUGAAUGACUUAGUGCACCUUGUUAUUGGAAGUGAUCCAGCCAAGACUCCAUGUUGUUCUCUAAUUCAUGGACUUGCUGAUCUUGAUGCCGCUGUUUGCCUUUGCACUGCAAUUAAAGCCAAUUUAUUGGGAAUUAACCUCAACGUACCUCUUUCCCUCAGUUUGUUGCUCAACAACUGUGGAAAGUAUGUUCCUAAGGACUUCCAAUGCGCAUAAACUAGCUAGCCAAAUUUCGUCUCUUUCAGAAAAUUUACGCUUUAUAUAUUUUUCUUUCAGUGUGUUUGGUGUUUUGUAUGCUUAUAGUUUUCUUGUAUUUUCAAAGGAAGUAUAUUGUAUUCUAAUUGGUUAGAAGGGAAGGAUAGUUGCAUGCCUUCUUUUCGUUGUAUUAUCACAUUUUAAAUGAGUAAUAAAUGACGUAUUGUGGAGUUUAUAGUA